rnacentral:rRNA from 1 species
CCUACGGGAGGCUGCAGUGAGGAAUAUUGGUCAAUGGACGAGAGUCUGAACCAGCCAAGUAGCGUGAAGGAUGACUGCCCUAUGGGUUGUAAACUUCUUUUAUAAAGGAAUAAAACGAGGCACGUGUGCCUUUUUGCAUGUACUUUAUGAAUAAGGAUCGGCUAAACACGUGCCAGCAGCCGCGGGUAUACGGAGGGUCCGAGCGUUAUCCGGAUUUUUUGGGUUUAAAGGGAGCGUAGAUGGGUUGUUAAGUUAGUUGGGAAAGUGUGCGGCUCAACCGUAAGAUUGCAAUUGAUACUGGCAGUCUUGAGUACAGUUGAGGUAGGCGGAAUGCGUGGUGUAGCGGUGAAAUGCUUAGAUAUCACGAAGAACCCCGAUUGCGAAGGCAGCUUACUAAACUGUGACUGACAUUGAUGCUCGAAAGUGUGGGUAUCAAACAGGAUUAGAUACCCUUGUAGUC